GUUUCUUGCAAAUUGGCUAAUAAACUUAGCUAAUGUCUCGAGCCAGACAAAUUGUCGUAUCCUAGAAUUACUUGAAAAAAACAAAAGUGUUUCUUCGAGUUUUAUGAAAAUGAGUACAUGUUAUGCAAAUAUUAGAAGCGUGAAAAAGCGUGGUAUCGUACGUGUAAUCGAGGUAGGCGAACCAACGAGAGAAAAUCCAGGGAAAGCUCGGGACUAUGUGCCGUGGACUAAAGCGAUACCAGCGAUAAAAAUUGUAAUUAAUCACUCGUUACGUGUCCUGAGCACGCGCGAGCUCGCUCGCUAUGAGCAUAAAUUAUCGUUGGCAUGGCGAUUUAAGCCGGCUUAAUAGGUACUCGAUAAAAAAUGUGAUCCCAUUGCCUUCUACUACUUUCUCUACUAUGUUCAGUAUCGAAAGUUAGAAAGAAGGAGGUAAGCUUUAAAAAAAAUUUAUAUUCAAAAACGUUAUAUUAGAUGCCGGUAUAUGCUUUUUCUAUCAAAAUGGUAGCAAACUAUUUGUCAUUAAAUUCAGGAUUUUUUUCUUUUUUCUUCUAAUACACACACACACACACACACAGGUAUAUAUAUUUCGAUCGAUCUAAUCGUAAAUAAACGUCGGCGAUACGAUCAGCUAUUUCAUUCAUAUCGAAGAUGGGCAAUUUUUCAUUGGUCAGUUUUCAAAGAGCAUGGAAUCUCGUCGAAAUAUUAUUAAUUGGUAUAUUCGCAUUUCGAUUGGAAAGAGAGACGUGAUCAUUUUUUGUUUCAUUGAAAUUCCCAUUGCUGUGAUUUUAAAUCUGGUUGAGCUGCGUGUAAAUGCUUGGAAUCCAUGCGUGGAAAAUGUCAGUCUGUAUUUACCGAUUCGAAUGCACUAGUUAACUUCUGUCUCUCUCUCUCUCUCUCUCUUUAUAUUUUCCAGAAGGUCGUGGCAAGCUCUAUAUCUCUUUUAAAUACUCUCCAUUGAAAUCUUGCAUCGCCUCCGGGGAAUACUAGUUGAAUAAUAAUUCGAGGGUUUCAUCGUCG